rnacentral:rRNA from 1 species
UACGUAGGGUGCGAGCGUUGUCCGGAAUUACUGGGCGUAAAGGGCGUGUAGGCGGCCAACUAAGUCCGACGUGAAAUCCCCCAGGCUUAACCUGGGAACUGCGUCGGAUACUGGAUGGCUUGAAUCCGGGAGAGGGAUGCGGAAUUCCAGGUGUAGCGGUGAAAUGCGUAGAUAUCAGGAAGAACACCCGUGGCGAAGGCGGCUCUCUGGGAACGGGUACUGACGCUGAGACGCGAAAAGCGUGGGGAGGCGAACAGG